rnacentral:rRNA from 1 species
GAGGCACUACGGUGCUGAAGUGAUAAAUGCCCUGCUUCCAGGAAAAGCCUCUAAGCAUCAGGUAACACGAAAUCGUACCCCAAACCGACACAGGUGGUCAGGUAGAGAAUACCAAGGCGCUUGAGAGAACUCGGGUGAAGGAACUAGGCAAAAUGGUGCCGUAACUUCGGGAGAAGGCACGCUGAUAUGUAGGUGAAGCCCCUGCGGGCGGAGCUGAAAUCAGUCGAAGAUACCAGCUGGCUGCAACUGUUUAUUAAAAACACAGCACUGUGCAAACACGAAAGUGGACGUAUACGGUGUGACGCCUGCCCGGUGCCGGAAGGUUAAUUGAUGGGGUUAGCGGCAACGCGAAGCUCUUGAUCGAAGCCCCGGUAAACGGCGGCCGUAACUAUAACGGUCCUAAGGUAGCGAAAUUCCUUGUCGGGUAAGUUCCGACCUGCACGAAUGGCGUAAUGAUGGCCAGGCUGUCUCCACCCGAGACUCAGUGAAAUUGAACUCGCUGUGAAGAUGCAGUGUACCCGCGGCAAGACGGAAAGACCCCGUGAACCUUUACUAUAGCUUGACACUGAACACUGGUCCUUGAUGUGUAGGAUAGGUGGGAGGCUUUGAAGCGUGGACGCCAGUCUGCGUGGAGCCGCCCUUGAAAUACCACCCUUUAAUGGCUGGUGUUCUAACGUAGACCCGUAAUCCGGGUUGCGGACAGUGUCUGGUGGGUAGUUUGACUGGGGCGGUCUCCUCCCAAAGAGUAACGGAGGAGCACGAAGGUUGGCUAAUCCUGGUCGGACAUCAGGAGGUUAGUGCAAUGGCAUAAGCCAGCUUGACUGCGAGCGUGACGGCGCGAGCAGGUGCGAAAGCAGGUCAUAGUGAUCCGGUGGUUCUGAAUGGAAGGGCCAUCGCUCAACGGAUAAAAGGUACUCCGGGGAUAACAGGCUGAUACCGCCCAAGAGUUCAUAUCGACGGCGGUGUUUGGCACCUCGAUGUCGGCUCAUCACAUCCUGGGGCUGAAGUAGGUCCCAAGGGUAUGGCUGUUCGCCAUUUAAAGUGGUACGCGAGCUGGGUUUAGAACGUCGUGAGACAGUUCGGUCCCUAUCUGCCGUGGGCGCUGGAGAAUUGAGGGGGGCUGCUCCUAGUACGAGAGGACCGGAGUGGACGCAUCACUGGUGUUCGGGUUGUCAUGCCAAUGGCACUGCCCGGUAGCUAAAUGCGGAAGAGAUAAGUGCUGAAAGCAUCUAAGCACGAAACUUGCCCCGAGAUGAGUUCUCCCUGAGACUU